ensembl:lncRNA
CGGAGAACGGGGAGGAGAGGAGAGGAGACUUAGAUCAGCAUCAGCAUUCCAGGGGAAGUAUGCUGAAGAGGGAGUUGAUGGACCCACGGACCACUCAGCUCAAAGUGAAUAUCACUAAAGAGAAUCUUAGCGGUGCCCGAGAAAAUAUAGAAAAGAAGGUUUUAUUCAGAUCUGUUGCAAAAAGUACAGGGACCCAGAGCAAGAUUCUACUGGUGGGGAAGAGAGCAGGGCCUCAACACUGCAUGCAGUCAGCAAACUGAAGCUGAUAGCCCAGCCGCAGCGUGCAGGGGUGAGAGAGGAUGCGGAUCGGAAACGGAGGCUUGAGGGUAUCCGGCAUCUAGAGGGGAGCGUGGACAUGCCAAGCCCCGCAAACUCUUUGUGAACAGGAAACCCCUAGAAGCGCCCUAACAGCCAGAUUCUGCCCUGCUUUUCUGACACACUCCCUGAUGCCACCAUGGGUGCCAGCUUCUAACUGCUUGGAGAAGCAGGGAAGGCGCACAGAACAGGAACUGCUACCUGGAACGCUAAAGCAGAAGGUUUCUAAAUCUGGCCUGCAUAUAUGUUGAGACCCCCCGUGUCAAAAUGAAAAUAGGAACGGGUGCCAGUGCUGGGCAUACAACUCUGACAAAGUGCUUAUCCAGAACGAAUAGAGCUGAGGAUCAAUCUCCAGUACUGAAAAGAAGGC